UCCAGACUCCUACGGGAGGCAGCAGUGGGGAAUAUUGGACAAUGGGGGGAACCCCGAUCCAGCGACGCCGCGUGAGUGAAGAAGUAUUUCGGUAUGUAAAGCUCUCUCAGCAGGGAAGAAGAAAUGACGGUACCUGACUAAGAAGCCCCGGCUAACUACGUGCCAGCAGCCGCGGUAAUACGUAGGGGGCAAGCGUUAUCCGGAUUUACUGGGUGUAAAGGGAGCGUAGACGGCAGUGCAAGUCUGAAGUGAAAGCCCCGGGCUUAACCCGGGAAUUGCUUUGGAAACUGUACGGCUGGAGUGCUGGAGAGGUAAGCGGAAUUCCUAGUGUAGCGGUGAAAUGCGUAGAUAUUAGGAGGAACACCAGUGGCGAAGGCGGCUUACUGGACAGUAACUGACGUUGAGGCUCGAAAGCGUGGGGAGCAAACAGGGUUAGAUACCCCAGUA
rnacentral:rRNA from 1 species